UACAGAGGGUGCGAGCGUUAAUCGGAAUUACUGGGCGUAAAGCGCGCGUAGGCGGUUGUUUAAGUCAGAUGUGAAAUCCCCGGGCUCAACCUGGGAAUGGCCUCUGAUACUGGGCAACUAGAGUUUGGAAGAGGGAAGUAGAAUUUCAGGUGUAGCGGUGAAAUGCAUAGAGAUCUGAAGGAAUACCAGUGGCGAAGGCGACCUCCUGGUCCAGAACUGACGCUGAGGUGCGAAAGCGUGGGUAGCAAACGGG
rnacentral:rRNA from 1 species